CCACAUUCAUGUGGCAAAUGCUGCUUUAUGGAGAUGUUUCUAAUACUGACCUACAAUAAUUCAGCCAAGAUCACGUUUCUACUGUCUUCAGGAAAUGAGAAAAAUGAAUCCAGGAAAUUUCCAUCUUUAACUAUACUCUGUAAAUGUGCUGUCCAAUACACAGAUAGCUACUGAGCACUGGAAUAUAGCUAGUCUGAAUGGAGAUGUUCUGUCAAAAACAUCCAUUCUACUUUAAGGUAUUGAGGCAAAGAAGAGAGCCUCACUCAAGUCAUUGUGCGCCGCAGGGUUUCUCUCAGGACACGUGUGUGGGAAUCAAGAAAAACUGAACCAUCUGGUCAAGGAAUCUUGGGAAUUCUGGAAGAGCUGUGCACCCCAGGACAGGAGCUGAAAAUCUUCCUUACAUUUCAUUCUCUUUCAAAUAACCUGCAAUUUUGCAUAGUAGGCAUUCACAACUUUAACCACUUUUCAUUUGCCAUAUUCAGUCUGAUAAAUUAACUGAUUAAUGAAUCCUUUCUUCUUUCCUUCAUCCUUUCCUACCUCCUUUUCAUUCUUUCCUCCUUUAUUUCCUUCUUUGGUUUUGCUACCUGGACACUGUGCAAUGUUGAGUAAGCUACUUAGCUCUUCUAUGCUUUAGCUUCUUCUCUAAUUGAAAUAGUAAUAUUAACAUUAAUAAUAAUAAUAUAUCCUCUAGGGCUGUUGUGAUGAUUAAAUGAGUUAAUACAUCUGUAA
ensembl:lncRNA novel transcript